ensembl:lncRNA
GCCACUGAUCCCCUUCUACAUAGAGUGUAAGUGGCAUUUGCAGCAGAGUCUCAAGCAGGAACAUCAAAACGAAAUCUUUUUUUAAUUUUUCAGGUCCUUGAUUAUUCCCUAUGGCCCUAGAGGAUAGUCUACGCAGAAGGCUAAAUGAGAUCUUUGCCCAUUUGACGUUUUAUAACCAGCAUGGUUUUAGUCCUGCUUAGCAACUUCUUGUAGCAGAAUCCAGGAUAUCAUCUGCUACUGCUGGCUAUCAAAUCUCAAGCUGCUCUCCUGCAGGGUAGAUGAUCAGCGACCUGCAGGACGCAGUCAUCAGCGGCCAUCCUUGGAACCUAGGAUUCCAUGGACUGCAAGGAAUAUGGCACCCAGUUCUGCAGGCUGUACAAGCAUGGCACCAGCAUCUACUCAGCUCCUAAUGAGGCCUAAUGAAGAUUUUACUCAUGGCAGAAUGUGAAGCAGGAGCAAUCAUGUCACCGGGCAAGAGAAGGAGCAAGCAAGAAAGGGAAGGUGGCUCUGACUGCUGGAGUGAAACUUCACAGAGUUAUGUGCACUCUGGGGUAGGGAAGAUGGAGCAGGUAAGAAUUCAUGUAAUCAUCCCAUAAGAUGGCUGAAAGAGUUUUAUAUGGUCUCCAUUUGGGUCCCACAGUUAGAAAAAUAAAUGUCUCAGAAUUCAGAAUUCAUAAACUAGACAAGCAGAGUGGAGAUGGAGUCCCUUGACAGUAUGGGGUCUGCUAUGGUUUGAAGGUUUCAAUGUGUUCCCCAGAGUUCAUUCGUCAGAAACUUAAUCCCCAAUGAUACAAUGUUGAGGGAAAGGGCUUUUAAGAAGUGAUGAGGUCAUGAGGGUUCUGCCCUUGUGAAUAAAUUAAUGUCCUUAUGGUGGGAGUGAAUUCCUGAUUAAAAAAAAAAAAAGAAUUCUUCCCCCUUCUUCUUUCUCUCAUCCUCUCUCAACCUCUGGCCUUCUUUCACAGGAAAGCACAGCAAGAUAUUCUUGCCUGAUGCCAGCACCUUGGUAUCCAAAUUUCUAGCUUUCAGAAUUCUGAAAUAAACUUAUUCUCCUUUUAAGACUCCCAAUUUUUCAUAUUCUGUUACAGCAACACAAAAUGGGCUAAGACAAGGCCCAUUACAACAACACAGGAUGCAGGCAUCAGACCCAGGAGGUAAAGAAGAGUUGUGCCGAGAGAAUAGCAGAAACUGAGGAGGAAAAGAAAGGCAACAGUUAGACUGUGAAGGGCCCUAAGUGCUACAUUAAUAUGUUUAAUUUUUUUUCUGACAGCUUUGAAGAUUAUUGAGAUAUUAUAAGCUGAAAAAUACCCUGUGUAUUUUUCUGUUGUUGUUAUUUUGUGUUGUUUUAAAUUACUUUGUCUUUUAUGAGAAGAGUGAAUUAGAGGGAAGCCCGUGGUCCUCAAUAGUGACAAUAGUGAUAGCCUGAAUUUUAAAACUCAUAGCAGAGAGGUAGUAAAGGAGGGACAGGCUACAUAUAGUUAACAGUAGAUUCAGCAGCACAUUAUGGAUAGAUUAAUUACAUAACUAAUUAGAUAUUGGCUAGUCAGAAGGAAGAGACUACAUUGAUUCUCAAAUGUCUGCCAUAGAUACCUAGAGAAUGGAAUCACGACUAGCACAAUGGAUACUAAGGAACAACCAACCAACCCUGGAGAAAAAGGAGGUGAGAACGUUUUGGACAGGGAUUUCACAUACUAUAGAUGUCCAAUUAGCCUGAUUAAUGAUCAGUUAGAUAUGCUGUGUUAUAGAUCUCCCAACAAAUCUGAACCAAAUUAGAAAUAAAAUCAGAAAGGAAAAAUCCUGCAGGCAGGCCAUGGCUUCACAAGGCGGAGGAUGUGUACUUCACAAGGUAAUAUCGCUCUGCUGACUUCAUCGCAAUCGGAUAUCUGUUUCUCAAUGUCAGUGGCCCAUAAAAGCAAUUUCUUUAGGAUCCCAAAAUUAAUGAGACUAAAAAGUGAUGACUCACACUAAUAAAACUUCAGAGAAACCAAUGUAUAACAAAGGAAGGUAAGUGCAUAAUGCUCUUGAAAAAAAAAGACAGAAAAUAACGAUCAAAUACAGUAAAUACUCAUUAACCUACCUUUUUAGUCCUCCUUAUUUUUCGGUUUCAAGGGAUGGUAGUUAGUCAAAAGCUUUCUCAAGAAACAGAGAAUCAGAAUACACAUAAUUCCAUGCAGUGGGAAUAAAUAUAAUAGUAAAAACUUGUCUACCACUAAAACACACUUGCUAGAAUGGUCAACAUC